rnacentral:rRNA from 1 species
UACAGAGGGUGCAAGCGUUGUUCGGAAUUACUGGGCGUAAAGGGCGCGUAGGCGGCCUUCUAAGUCGAACGUGAAAUCCCCGGGCUCAACCCGGGAACUGCGUCCGAUACUGGAGGGCUUGAAUCCGGGAGAGGGAUGUGGAAUUCCAGGUGUAGCGGUGAAAUGCGUAGAUAUCUGGAGGAACACCGGUGGCGAAGGCGGUUCUCUGGGCAUUACCUGACGCUGAGGCGCGAAAGCGUGGGGAGCAAACAGG